CUAUCUGCAGUCGUGGGGCAGCAGGGUGUAGCAAUACAUCGCUGGCGACCGGCAAACGGGUGCGCAAAACGUACGCAACCUUCCUUCGAGCGGGGAAUAGCCCAGGGAAACUUGGAUUAAUACCCCAUAAUAUAAUGAAGAGGCAUCUUUUUAUUAUUAAAGCUCCGGCACUUGAAGAUGGGCGUACGGCUGAUUAGGUAGUUGGCGGGGUAACGGCCCACCAAGCCUGCGAUCAGUAGCUGAUGUGAGAGCAUGAUCAGCCACACGGGCACUGAGACACGGGCCCGACUCCUACGGGAGGCAGCAGUAAGGAAUAUUGGUCAAUGGACGCAAGUCUGAACCAGCCAUGCCGCGUGGAGGAUGACGGUCCUCUGGAUUGUAAACUUCUUUUAUCUGGGACGAAACACUCCUAUUCUUAGGGGCCUGACGGUACCAGAUGAAUAAGCACCGGCUAACUCCGUGCCAG
rnacentral:rRNA from 1 species